rnacentral:rRNA from 1 species
UACGAAGGGGGCUAGCGUUGCUCGGAAUCACUGGGCGUAAAGCGCACGUAGGCGGCUUUCUAAGUCAGAGGUGAAAUCCUGGAGCUCAACUCCAGAACUGCCUUUGAUACUGGGAGGCUUGAGUCCGGGAGAGGUGAGUGGAACUGCGAGUGUAGAGGUGAAAUUCGUAGAUAUUCGCAAGAACACCAGUGGCGAAGGCGGCUCACUGGCCCGGUACUGACGCUGAGAUGCGAAAGCGUGGGGAGCAAACAGG